GGGCUGUUAGUAAAAUCAUUACAUAGUCUUGUCAAGACUCUAUCACAGAUGAAAACUCUGUACACCCCA
rnacentral:tRNA from 1 species